CCCAUCUUAAUGAUAAUGGAUUGAACCUCUGAACCUCCCAGAAGUCCAGGAGGGGACCCGCCUGCAAAAGCUUAGUCAAGGAUCCUGAAGCCAGGUGACCCGGAUAAGGCCCAGUCACCGAUGCUUACUUCUUGUUCAACCCCUCAUUUCGAAGUGUGAUUGGACAAUGCUACAGCCUGCCCUGCUCCCCUAAGUUUUGGGGUUCCGGCCUUUAAAAACGCUGUACAGUUUCUCUUCCGGUCGCCUUUCAGUUCUGAGUCUGUUCUGCCGCCAUGAUUGAUCGGCAGUGGCCUGGGUACGACAAAGUUUCGUCAUCUGCUUGAAUACUAAGAUGAACUUCAAAGACAGACGGUGGCGCAAGGCCCUGAGUCCGGUCCCCAGCUCCGGAAAAAAAAAAAAAAAAAGAACCAAAGACAGACGGUGGUGUUGUCCCUGAUUGGUCAGUCCUGCCUGAUUCAAAUACAGAUCUUGCCUCGCUGGA
rnacentral:sRNA from 1 species